ACAAGGUUUCCGUAGGUGAACCUGCGGAAGGAUCAUUAAUGAAUUCACUAUGGAGUUGUUGCUGGCCUCUAGGGGCAUGUGCACGCUUCACUAGUCUUUCAACCACCUGUGAACUUUUGAUAGAUCUGUGAAGUCGUCCUUCAAGUCGUCAGACUUGGUUUGCUGGGAUUUAAACGUCUCGGUGUGACAACGCAGUCUAUUUACUUAACACACCCCAAAUGUAUGUCUACGAAUGUCAUUUAAUGGGCCUUGUGCCUAUAAACCAUAAUACAACUUUCAACAACGGAUCUCUUGGCUCUCGCAUCGAUGAAGAACGCAGCGAAAUGCGAUAAGUAAUGUGAAUUGCAGAAUUCAGUGAAUCAUCGAAUCUUUGAACGCACCUUGCGCCCCUUGGUAUUCCGAGGGGCAUGCCUGUUUGAGUGUCAUUAAAUUCUCAAACUCACAUUUAUUUGUGAUGUUUGGAUUGUUGGGGGUUGCUGGCUGUAACAAGUCGGCUCCUCUUAAAUGCAUUAGCAGGACUUCUCAUUGCCUCUGCGCAUGAUGUGAUAAUUAUCACUCAUCAAUAGCACGCAUGAAUAGAGUCCAGCUCUCUAAUCGUCCGCAAGGACAAUUUGACAAUUUGACCUCAAAUCAGGUAGGACUACCCGCUGAACUUAAGCAUAUCAU
rnacentral:rRNA from 1 species